rnacentral:sRNA from 1 species
AUAUGAAUACGUUGGGAGCCAGUGCAAACGCAACAGUUUUGUAAGGCAUACAGCAAGGUAAAUUGCGGGUUGUAUUACUGCGAAUUGUAUUGCCUCACAGGUCUGUUGCGUGUGCUUUUAUUUGAUGAAUUCUAACUGAAUUGGUAGCACAUGAACCCCAUAAUAACGAACCGGUUACAACAUAAGCUAGGGUAUAGCUUUAAAC